ACCGUCAGCGGGGAGACUGCCUGCUCAAGGCCGAGGCAUUCUGCUCUCCUUGGAAGUGUUUCUGGUCCUCGCCGUGGGCAGGGCCUGUGGUCCAUGGGGGUUGACAUUCCCUCUGCCAUUCGGUUAAGGGGCAGGGAAGGGUAGUGCCCCAGCUGGGCAGGACGCUGUAGUUGCGGAUGUGUAUGCAGGCGGCCUUUACACACUAGCUGGAGGACAUGGGGCCCUCCCACCACCCCCUGCUGCUGCCAGUCAGCGGGGCUCGCUCCCCAGAACCUGGCCUCAACAGCCUUUCCACAUAGAUCAUUUGGCAGUAAAUUGGUCGCAGGCAUGAAGAAUAACCCUGGUGUUCUUCUGUCACACGUGAUCCCCAGCCCUUCCAAGAGUUAAGUUGUUCUUGUUCCUGAGACAGCGGCGGGGCUGUUCAGGCAGGUGUGUGUGCGCAGAGGCUCCAUGAGAGGUGUCGUCUCAGCAGCCAGGCGAGCGGCCACGGGGCCCCAAGGUCAGCCUUAGGCCCGGAGGCUGUUGAAGGAAGUCCCAAGGCUGCGAGUUGUUGACUGUCGGGAUGACUUGGGAUCUGGGUUUGCUGACAUUUUCCCCCCAAGGUUCUCCUGGUGGCGUUAGCGGUCUCCAGAGGGGCACAGUGUGGAGGGAUCCCCGUCGAAGCAUCCCCAGAGGACCCCCUACUAUACCCUCCGAGUGCCGUGAUCAGCUCUUCCCUCCGCACAGGACCUCAGAGGGAAGGUGCUGGGGCCGCGGCCGGGUCCGCUCCGCCUGGCCUGUCUUGCCAGCCGUGCCCUGCGAAGCCGUAGACCGGGAACGUCAGCCCCAUGUCCCUCCGCUGUGCCGGGAAUGACUGUAAUGACCCAUAUUUUUCUCCUGAACUACAGCUGCUCCUGUCUUUCCCCCUCUGCCUGCCUGUUCAGUAAACUCACAGACUCGC